UACGGGGGGUGCAAGCGUUAUCCGGAAUCACUGGGUUUAAAGGGUGCGUAGGCGGGAAAUUAAGUCAGUGGUGAAAGUCUGUUGCUUAACGAUAGAAUUGCCGUUGAUACUGAUUUUCUUGAAUUGGGUUGAGGUUAGCGGAAUGUGACAUGUAGCGGUGAAAUGCAUAGAUAUGUCAUGGAACACCAAUUGCGAAGGCAGCUAGCUGGGCCUUGAUUGACGCUGAGGCACGAAAGCGUGGGUAGCGAACAGG
rnacentral:rRNA from 1 species